UAACGGGGAAGAACCUUACCAAGGCUUGACUAACACGAGAAACGGGCCAGAAAUGGUCAACUCUUUUGGACACUCGUGAACAGGUGGUGCAUGGUUGUCGUCAGCUCGUGUCGUGAGAUGUUGGGUUAAGUCCCGCAACGAGCGCAACCCUCGUUUUAUGUUGCCAGCGCGUAAUGGCGGGAACUCAUAGGAGACUGCCGGGGUCAACUCGGAGGAAGGUGGGGAUGACGUCAAAUCAUCAUGCCCCUUAUGUCUUGGGCUUCACGCAUGCUACAAUGGCCGGUACAAAGGGCUGCAAUACCGUAAGGUGGAGCGAAUCCCAAAAAGCCGGUCUCAGUUCGGAUUGAGGUCUGCAACUCGACCUCAUGAAGUCGGAGUCGCUAGUAAUCGCAGAUCAGCA
rnacentral:rRNA from 1 species